AACGAACGCUGGCGGCGUGCCUAACACAUGCAAGUCGAACGGUAACAGGAAGAGCUUGCUCUUCGCUGACGAGUGGCGCACGGGUGAGUAACGCGUGGAUAUCUGCCUAUUAGUGGGGGACAGCUACGGGAAACCGUAGCUAAUACCGCAUAAUCUCUACGGAGGAAAGCAGGGGACCCUUCGGGGCCUUGCGCUGAUAGAUGAGUCCGCGUCUGAUUAGCUAGUUGGUAAGGUAAAAGCUUACCAAGGCGAUGAUCAGUAACUGGUUUGAGAGGAUGAUCAGUCACACUGGAACUGAGACACGGUCCAG
rnacentral:rRNA from 1 species